CAGGGCUCUUCCUGCCGGCAGCAGUUUCAGACUUGUCUCUGAAAAGGAGCUAGUUGCUUUGUGUGUGUGUGUGUUCUGUGCUGUGAGCACUGCUACAGGGAGCUGAGUGGAGAGCUUGGAAAUCCGGGAAACCACGUCAUGCUGAGUGAGGGGCUGUUGUGAUGGGGAGAAGCAGACGGUGAGGUGUUGGAGCCAGUGUGGUGGGUCCGCCCCGGAUCUGAGUGGAAACCUGCAGCCAGAUUCCCUGUCCUGAAAAGUGGGCUUUGCUGGAUCCUUCCCAGAAGACUCUCCAUAAAGAUGUGAUAUUGGAGACUACAGGAUCCUUACUGCUAUAGCUUGUUGUAUUAUGGAGAUGUAUAUAGUUUUCAACAUUCCUGCUUCUUCAUGAUCCAGUUUUUAUCCAUUUGGCACUCAUCUUGAAGUAUUUUCUCCUAAAGGAAUUAUCUACAGAUGCCAGGUAAUGUAAAGACAGAUUUAUUUUUUAAAAACAUGUCUGGUGUGUGUGUGUGUGUGUGUGUGUGUGUGUGUGUGUGAUGAUGGGUUAGAAUGGGUAACAGAUAUGUUUGUGGGUUUUUUUUUAGUCUUAUUCACAUGUGAUCAAGGUCAGGUUGCCAGUCUUGCACACAACAUCACAUCAGUAUAAUAUUGUUCUCUAUUCAAAGUGGAAUUAUACUAUCAUUUAAGAAAAGAUCAACACAGGAUCUAUUUAUGCUCCCAUCUUUCUGUAUUUUUGUUAGUUUAUUCUUGGGUACUUUACAUUUGUGGUACCAGCACCGAUGUCCCCAGGAGCCGGGGAGAUGAAAUGCCAACUCAAGGGAUCAUGCAAUGAGCUACCACAUCUGCUGUUC
rnacentral:lncRNA from 1 species